UUGUGGGGUUUCACUAAUUUCAAAUUCUUUUAAUUUAGACUAAAAUGAAUGACUCUCCACUUAUAUAUACAGUAGUAGAUAUCUCAACUCUUGGACUUGCAAGCAAAAAAGAUAUCAAGAAUAAGAAAUUCACGCUAACUUGUUAGAAAAUAGAAAGAUGGCCAAGUUAUCUUUGGGAAACAUUUUCUUACUCUCGCUUCUGGUUUCAUCAGUUAUGUGGAUAAGUUCAGACGGUGCUACUAGUAGUAGUCAGUUCAUUACUGAAGACACUACUUUAUGCCGAGAUGAUUUUAUGUUUGACCAAGAUUGCAAAAACGACUACCCUAAUCGAUGUGUCGGGAAAUGCUUUGCGAAAUAUAAUAGCAAGUUGAUUCUUGCAGAUUGCAUGAGAAAAUAUGCGGUAUCACAUGUUUGUAGAUGCACGUAUUUCUGUAGAGAAAAACCUUCCUUUUUUCGAAACUUAAUAAAGGGAAAAGGAAAAGGAAAACCUGAACAUAAUUAAUAAUAAUACAAGAGGUUGGAAUUCAAUAUAUAAUACAUAAGACUAGUUUAAAAUCAAAACAUAGUCAAAGUUACUAAUCAAUAAAGAAGUUCCGAUCGUUUGCAGUUUAAAAUGAAAAAGGAGGAGGAUUUUGAAGAUUAUUAGAUAUUAGAUAUUUUAUAUUAUUUUCAGAAUGUGUUUGUAAUGAAAAUAUCUCUAUGUAUAGAGGUUGGAAUGAAUUAUUAUCGCAAUAAAAUGAGUUAAUUAGUCCAAUA